GGACCAGGUGACAGCAGCAUGGCUGUGCCCCAGGCUUUCCCACUGGGAUCCCUCCAUGAGCCUACAGGUGCCCUGAUGGAGCCCCAGCCCUGCCCUCGAAGCUUGGCUGAGGGCUUCCUGGAGGAGGAGCUUCGGCUCAAUGCUGAGCUGAGCCAGUUGCAGUUUUCAGAGCCAGUGGGCAUCAUCUACAAUCCUGUGGAGUAUGCGUGGGAGCCACAUCGCAACUAUGUGACUCGCUAUUGCCAGGACCCCAAGUGCCCUUUGGGGAAGUGAGCAUGGUCCGGGACUGGUUGGGCAUUGGGGGGCCUGUGCUGACCCCUCCCCAAGAGCACCCUAAACGACCAGUGCUGGGACUGGAGUGCCCACAGUCAGAGGUGAGCGGUGCCCGAUUCUGGGGCUUUUUCCAGAACCUCUGUGGACAGCCUGAGGUCUUCUUCCGUCACUGCUUUGUCCACAAUCUGUGUCCUCUGCUCUUCCUGACUCCCAGCGGGCGCAACCUCACCCCUGCUGAGCUGCCUGCCAAGCAACGAGAGCAGCUUCUUGGGAUCUGUGACGCAGCCCUCUGCCGGCAGGUGCAGCUGCUGGGGGUGCGGCUGGUGGUGGGAGUGGGGCGACUGGCGGAGCAGCGGGCACGGCGGGCUCUGUCAGGCCUGAUGCCAGAGGUCCAGGUGGAGGGGCUGCUGCAUCCCUCUCCCCGUAACCCCCAGGCCAACAAGGGCUGGGAGGCAGUAGCCAAGGAAAGACUGAAUGAGUUGGGGCUGCUGUCCCUGCUAUCGAAAUGAAUACCCCUGGGGCCUGGCAUAGGACGUAUUCAAGGCUUCCGAGUCAUUUUUGAGCAAGCAGAUGACAAGACACCUCCUGGAUGAGAGCCAAAAGGUCCUGGGCUCCCCGGUUGCUGGGAAACAUGUUCUUUGAUCUGUUGACUGUCUUCCAACCUGCCGUGGCAGUUUUGACACUACUUCUGUUCGCCUUCCUGACUCCUGCUUUCUUCACCUUCCUUUGAGCAUUGCCCCUUUUGUGGUAUCUGACUCCACAGAGAAUCGACAGAAGGUGGGCUCUGUUGCACUCGCAGACUGCUCUACCUCAUUGUUUCCUUGGGAAACGCUAUUCAGCGGAGAGUGACCUAGACAGUGACUUCUAAGGUCAUAUUUGCUGUUUCAGAGGAAUCUUGCCAGGAUCCCUACCCAUCCUGCUGCUAACGCCUUUCCUCAGAGGGCCAGGACAUACAUGGGACAUGAUAUUAAAAGUGAACUUAUGGGAAGCUGAGGCUGGACCAGAGGGAGA